GUGGCUUCAGUUUGCACUCUCCUCUGAGUGCUCUCUGCCCAGCUCCCUUGCGCUGCUAACUGAUGCCGGAGCCGGAAUAUGACGUCAUAUUCCGGCUCUGGCAUCCGUUAGCAGUGCGAGGGAGCUGGGCAGAGAGCACUCAGAGGAGAGUGCUCCCUCCCUCGC